CGGUUGUAUAUGUCAGAUGUAAAAGGCUAUGGCUUAAACUAUAGUAAGCAAUUUGAAAACUGUACAACCUUGAGUGCAGGAGAGGUAAGUGGAAUUCCUAGUGUAGCGGUGAAAUGCGUAGAUAUUAGGAGGAACACCAGUGGCGAAGGCGACUUACUGGACUGUAACUGAACGCUGAGUCACGAAAGCGUGGGUAGCAAACAGGAUUAGAUACCCUGGUAGUCCACGCUGUAAACGAUGAGUGCUAGGUGUUGGGUAGCGAUAUUCAGUGCCGAAGUUAACACAAUAAGCACUCCGCCUGGGGAGUACGGUCGCAAGACUGAAACUCAAAGGAAUUGACGGGGACCCGCACAAGCAGCGGAGCAUGUGGUUUAAUUCGAAGCAACGCGAAGAACCUUACCAAGGUUUGACAUCCCCUUGACAGAUGCAGAGAUGUGUCCUCUCCUUCGGGAGCAAGGGAGACAGGUGGUGCAUGGUUGUCGUCAGCUCGUGUCGUGAGAUGUUGGGUUAAGUCCCGCAACGAGCGCAACCCUUAUCCUUAGUUGCCAGCAAGUAAUGUUGGGCACUCUAAGGAGACUGCCGGUGAUAAACCGGAGGAAGGUGGGGAUGACGUCAAAUCAUCAUGCCCCUUAUAUCUUGGGCUACACACGUGCUACAAUGGUCGGUACAAAGGGGAGCGAAGGAGUGAUCUGGAGCAAAUCCCAAUAAACCGAUCCCAGUUCGGAUUGUAGGCUGCAACUCGCCUACAUGAAGUUGGAGUUGCUAGUAAUCGCGAAUCAGAACGUCGCGGUGAAUGCGUUCCCGGGUCUUGUACACACCGCCCGUCACACCAUGGAAGUUGGUAAUACCCAAAGUCGCUGAGCUAACCGCAAGGAGGCAGGCGCCUAAGGUAGGAUCAAUGACUGGGGUG
rnacentral:rRNA from 1 species